rnacentral:rRNA from 1 species
GGUCAGGACGAACGCUGGCGGCGUGCCUAAUACAUGCAAGUCGAACGGUCUUUCUAUGGAAGCUUGCUUCCACUGAGAAGAUAGUGGCGAACGGGUGAGUAACACGUGGGUAACCUGCCCAUAAGAGGGGGGAUAACAUCCGGAAACGGGUGCUAAUACCGCAUAGUUUUCUUGAUCGCAUGAUCGGGAAAGGAAAGACGGCCUUUGUGCUGUCGCUUAUGGAUGGACCCGCGGCGUAUUAGUUAGUUGGUGAGGUAACGGCUCACCAAGACGAUGAUACGUAGCCGACCUGAGAGGGUGAUCGGCCACAUUGGGACUGAGACACGGCCCAAACUCCUACGGGAGGCAGCAGUAGGGAAUCUUCCGCAAUGGACGAAAGUCUGACGGAGCAACGCCGCGUGAGUGAAGAAAAGGUUUUCGGAUCGUAAAACUCUGUUGUCAGAGAAGAACAAGUUGGAGAGUAACUGCUCCAGCCUUGACGGUAUCUGACCAGAAAGCCACGGCUAACUACGUGCCAGCCGCAGC